GCAGUGGUGGUUCAGUAGUAGAAUUCUUGCCUUCCACGCAGGACAUCUGGGUUCAAGUCCCAGCCAAUGCA
rnacentral:tRNA from 1 species